GGGUUGGUGAGGGUAGUAGAGAAGGGGUUAGUGAGGGUAGUAGAGAAGGGGGUUGGGAGGGUAGUAGAGAAGGGGUUGGUGAGGGUAGUAGAGAAGGGUUUGGUGAGGGUAGUAGAGAAGGGGUUGGUGAGGGUAGUAGAGAAGGGGGUGGUGAGGGUAGUAGAGAAGGGGUUGGUGAGGGUAGUAGAGAAGGGUUUGGUGAGGGUGGUAGAGAAGGGGUUGGUGAGGGGACUAGUAGAGAAGGGGUUGGUGAGGGUAGUAGAGAAGGGGUUGGUGAGGGACUGAGGGUAAUAGAGAAGGGGUUGGUGAGGGUGGUAGAGAAGGGGUUGGUGAGGGUAGUAGAGAAGGGGUUGGUGAGGGUAGUAGAGAAGGGGUUGGUGAGGGUAGUAGAG
ensembl:lncRNA